rnacentral:lncRNA from 1 species
CUCCCGAGUAGCUGGGACCACACGCAUGCACCAUCACACCUGACUUUGUAUUUUUAGUAGAGACGGGGUUUCGCCAUGUUGCCAGGCUGGUCUCAAACUCCUGAGCUCAGCCAAUCUGCCCGCCUUGGCCUCCCAAAAUGCUGGGAUUACAGGCGUGAGCCACUGUGCCUGGCCUGGUCUUUCAGUACCAUAUACAAGCCUGCAAUAAAUCUGUUUAGACAUAAUGUCAUAGAAGUGAGUGUAUCUGUGGGACAAAUCCCUAGAAGUAGAAUUGCUGGGUCAAAGGGUAAGGUGCAUACGUAGUUUUGAUAGAUACUCCGAGAUUGUUCUCCAGUGAAGUUGCCAUCAAUUUACGCUCCUACCAGCAAUGCAUGAGGGCACCAAUUCCCCACACCCCCACCAGUCUAACAGGCAAAAGUUUUAGGUCUAGCUUGAUUUGCACCACUCUCCUCAUGAAUGUGGCUGAGUAGCUGUUUAAGGGCCCUUUGUGUGACUGGGUUUUUGGUUUUGUUUUUUUUUUUGUUUUUAAUGUGAAUUCUUCGUAUCUUCUGCUCACUUUUUAAUACAUGUUCUUGGUCUUUUUUUCCUUUUUCUUUUUCUUUCUUUUUUUUUUUUUUUUUUUUUAUUGAGAUGGAAUCUUGCUCAGUCACCCAGGCUGGAGUUCAGUGGCAUGAUCUCAGCUUACUGCAACCCCCGCCUCGCAGGUUCAAGCAAUUCUCCUGCCUGAGCCACCCAAGUAGCUGGGACUACAGGCAUGCACCACCAUGUCUGGCUAAUUUUUUGUAUUUUAGUAGAGACAGGGUUUCACCAGGUAGGCCAGGUGGGUCUCAACUCCUUGAGCUCAGGCAAUCUACCCACCUCGGCCUCCCAAAGGGCUAGGAUUACAGGUGUGAGCUAUUGUGCCCGGCCCUUGGUCUUUUUAUCAUCAAUGCAUAGGAGUUCUUCAUAUAUUAGGAGAAUCAGCCCUUUGUUUAUGAGCUGCAGAUAAUUUCCCCAGCAUGUUGUCCUUUGACCUUGACUUUGGGUUGUUGCUCAGUGAACCUAUUUUUCUAUAGUCAAAUUUAUCAAUCUUUGCUUUUGUGGUUGCUAAAUUUUGUCUCUUGCACAGAAAGGAGCAGGAACCAAUAGCCCCAACACACACACCACUUUUUUGAUCAGUACAAGCUUGGAGUGACUUACUGGGUUCUGUAAGGAACAGGACAACUCCUGCUCUCCAAGAGAACCCAAUGUUAGGAGGACACAAAGUAAACUAACAAUUACAAUUCUGUUGUAAUAAAUAGUGGUGGCCGGGCACGGUGGCUCACUCCUGUAAUUCCAGCACUUUGGGAGGCCGAGGCAGGAAGAUCAUGAGGUCAGGAGUUCGAGACCAGCCUGGCCAACAUGGUGAAACCCCGUCUCUAUUAAAAAUACAAAAAAAAAAAAAAAAAAAAUCAGGCCAGGUGCGAUGGCUCACGCCUGUAAUCCCAGCACUUUGGGAGGCUGAGGCAGGUGAAUCACGAGGUCAGGAGAUUGAGACCAUCCUGGCUAACACAGUGAAACUCCGUCUCUAUUAAAAAUACAAAAAAAAAAUUAGCCGGGCGUGGUGGCGGGCGCCUGUAGUCCCAGCUACUCAGGAGGCUGAGGCAGGAGAAUGGCGUGAACCAGGGAGGCGGAGCUUGCAGUGAGCCAAGAUCAUGCCACUGCACUCCAGCCUGGGCGACAGAGCAAGACACCGUCUAAAAAUUUUAAAAAAGAAAAAGAAAAAAAAAGCUGGGCAUGGU